GGAGAUCCCUUAUAAAAUUUCAGAUCUGUGUUCUGUGAACACAGAUCCGAAAAAGAGAAAGAAAGGGUUAGAGAGAAAGAGAAACCAAGAGAGAUCCGUCCGUCGGGAAGAAGGCUAUCGUUCAUUGCCACUGGGUUACUCUGUCGUUUGUCCUCCUAUUCUGUCGUCGCUGCUGUAGAUUUCAGUACUAUGUCAUCAUUUUCCAGCUGUUUUCAGGAAACAAAUGAUCAGUUUCUGAAGUUCGAUGACACAUUCAAUAACGCGAGAUUGUCUUUGAUGGCUCUCAACUCAAUCGCACUCCUAAGAGAUGUCAGUACUCCCAAAACUUGGAGUUUGAGAGAUAUGUAUAGAAAAUUGGGAAGAUCCCAAUCUCCAUCAAUCCAAGGGUGGAGAAGUCAAUCUCACCACAUACUAUUCAAUUCAGCAACACCAUCAGUGUAUUAACGCGAGAUACAUUUCCAAUUCGCUGCCUUAAGUGGGCUGAUGUUUCUUCAGAGUACAUCGAGGUUGUCAAAGGCGGCAACAACGGUUCGUGCUUGAUUUCACAGAUCAAGCACUUACUCAAUUUGUUGAGCAUUAAAUGCUCACCUCGUGAAAAGAGUUCAGGGGAGACUAUCAUAGGCAUUUUAAGAAGUUCAAUGACCUUCAACAAGCACGAGUUCACCCACCAUACAAAUUGGUGAACCGUUUGGAAGAUUGUCACUUUCUUUACGAUCAUUACUUGAGUCAACAAUUUUAGGUGAUUUACAUCUUUCUAAUGUUCCUUCAUGUUACUUCAUUUUUGUUGUUUGUAUGUAACAUUUUGAUUGUUUACAUGUAAGAGCAAUCAAGAACAAACAAGGCUACUAAAAUAAAAUAGUCUUACAACUAUAGUAGCGGGUCUAAGUCAUUCCCACAACGACAACAUGAGCUCACUAAACAACAAGGUGAUUUAGUGGACCGUGUGAAGUUGUUUAGAGAAACACAAGUCAAUAGGAGUGGCCAAUUCGU